rnacentral:rRNA from 1 species
CUACGGGAGGCUGCAGUGGGGAAUUUUGGACAAUGGGCGCAAGCCUGAUCCAGCCAUUCCGCGUGAGUGAAGAAGGCCUUCGGGUUGUAAAGCUCUUUCGCAAGGGAAGAAAACUUAUCCUCUAACAUAGGGUGAGGUUGACGGUACCUUGAUAAGAAGCACCGGCUAACUACGUGCCAGCAGCCGCGGUAAUACGUAGGGUGCGAGCGUUAAUCGGAAUUACUGGGCGUAAAGCGUGCGCAGGCUGUUUUGUAAGUCAGAUGUGAAAUCCCCGAGCUCAACUUGGGAACUGCGUUUGAAACUAAAAGACUAGAAUAUGUCAGAGGGGGGUAGAAUUCCAUGUGUAGCAGUGAAAUGCGUAGAGAUGUGGAGGAAUACCAAUGGCGAAGGCAGCCCCCUGGGAUAAUAUUGACGCUCUUGCACGAAAGCGUGGGGAGCAAACAGGAUUAGAUACCCUCGUAGUC